AUUGAACGCUGGCGGCAUGCUUUACACAUGCAAGUCGAACGGCAGCGCGGGCUUCGGCCUGGCGGCGAGUGGCGAACGGGUGAGUAAUAUAUCGGAACGUACCCAAGAGUGGGGAGUAACGUAGCGAAGUUACGCUAAUACCGCAUACGAUCUAAGGAUGAAAGCAGGGGAGUCGCAAGACCUUGUGCUCCUGGAGCGGCCGAUAUCUGAUUAGCUAGUUGGUGAGGUAAAGGACGUCACCAAGGCAACGAUCAGUAGCUGGUCUGAGAGGACGGACCAGCCACACUGGAACUGAGACACGGUCCAGACUCCUACGGGAGGCAGCAGU
rnacentral:rRNA from 1 species